CUGUUCAUCCUCCAAUAAGCCGGUAAUAUUCCAAGAUAUGGACCAUUGUGCUAGAUGAAGAAGAAAAAGUUGUGUCCAGGAACCUUCGAGUAAUAAUAAUUGAUCGUUCUUCGAAAGUGAUUGGAAUAGAGACAUUAGUAUCUGAAGAAGGGGUGGUUGCGGCGUUAGGGCGACGCUCGAGGGUGCUGAAUACAAAGUCGUGGUCGAAGGAGAAUGUGGUAGAGCCAAUGGUGCCGGGGACGAAGAAUCUUCUGGUGGUUUCUGAACUAAUGCCACUGGCCGUGGAUAAGGCGAAAACCUUUGGUCACACCUGAACUUUCUGCACACAUUAUCCUUAGCGUCCUUUUAUUCGAGUUAUUUAAAUGUAAAUACUAAGAACAUGAUUUCGUAAUAUUUCGUACAUUUACAAUAAAUUAUGGUUCAUGUUUUAUUAUUUUAAUUAUUAUUUUUCAUUCUUUUAAUUUUAAAAUAAAAAGUUGAAUCAUUUUUU